UUGUAUUUCCAACAAAAACAUUAAUAAAUCAUGGAUGGAGUAUCGCGUGUUGAGAAGUCUGAACCCUUCAGUGGCUUGGAGCAACCCAAAUAUAUUCCUAAAAUCACCUGGUGGGGCAUCAAAACUCGAUCUUCAUUAGGUCACCCCAAUAACAAAAGUCCACUACUGGCAUCAUUCCUCAAAGCAAAAAACAUCUUAACCGGGGCAU
rnacentral:lncRNA from 1 species